rnacentral:lncRNA from 1 species
CAACUACAAAACAACUGAUGAGUGCAAAAAUGAAAGAAUCAGAGCUUGCUGAGACACGCUUGCUUGUGAUGAUACAAAUAGUUCUCUCUCAGGACAGAGAGAGGUGUCUGUCGUCUUUACCAUUUCAAGCCAACGCUCAGCAUAGUGUCUGGUACAUCAAAGAAACCCAUUUCCAAAGAGCAUUCUCCCAGCAGAGAAAUGGGAAGCAGAUUCAGUUCAUGUGACAUAAGAGUCUUCCCUGGGACUUAAGCGUCAGAGGACCUCGAAGAAAGUGUCCAGAGGUGUAGGCUUCCCAUCCUGUCUAUAACAGAGCAGCC